rnacentral:rRNA from 1 species
CGCGUAGGCGGGAUGGCAAGUCGGUCGUGAAAUCCUUCGGCUCAACCGAAGAACGUCGGCCGAAACUGCCACUCUUGAGGGAUGCAGAGGAGACUGGAAUUCCCGGUGUAGCGGUGAAAUGUGUAGAGAUCGGGAGGAACACCGGUGGCGAAGGCGGGUCUCUGGGCAUCUCCUGACGCUGAGGCGCGAAAGCGUGGGGAGCAAACGGGAUUAGAUACCCCGGUAGUCCACGCUGUAAACGAUGACGACUAGGUGUGGGGUGGUUCAGUCCACUCCGUGCCGCAGCUAACGCAUUAAGUCGUCCGCCUGGGGAGUACGGCCGCAAGGUUGAA